UGGACGGAGCAGCUGAUGGUGAAGUUGGAGCCCUGGAGAACCUGAAACCCCUGCUGCUGGGCCCCGGAGACCCCGUCCAUGGUAGGAGACACAUAGAUGAUUGGCUGAAGCAGCAGGUCUGUAAAUACAGAGAGGUGAUUGGCUGAAGCAGCAGGUCUGUAAAUACAGAGAGGUGAUUGGCUGAAGCAGCAGGUCUGUAAAUACAGAGAGGUGUGGCACCCUGGACAUUUUAGGGGCUCAGAUUAUUUUCAGAUUAGUUGUUGUAUUAGUUUGUUAUGUUAGUGACUGGCGCUGUAAUCCUUUGCUGAAGGAAGUUAGCCCAGUCAUAGUGGACACAGUCACAGUAGAAGCAACAGGAGAGUACUGAUGCUAGACUGUCUUUUUGUUGUGUAUUUCACUACAAAUAAAACCAUCUGGCACCUGGAUGAACAUUGUCUACAUUCAGUG